rnacentral:rRNA from 1 species
GGCCCCACCAAGCACUCCACAGGAGUGCAGGGUGGGGUCCGUGCCGGAGCUAACGCGGUAAGUGCACCGCCUGGGGAGUAUGCCCGCAAGGGUGAAACUCAAAGGAAUUGACGGGGGCCCGCACAAGCGGUGGAGCAUGUGGUUUAAUUCGAUGGUACGCGAGGAACCUUACCAGGGUUUGACAUGUACCGGGAGUACGGUGAGAGCCGUGCGUCCCUUUGGGACUGGUACACAGGUGCUGCAUGGCCGUCGU